rnacentral:misc_RNA from 1 species
GAUGAAGAACGUAGCGAAAUGCGAUACGUAAUGUGAAUUGCAGAAUUCAGUGAAUCAUCGAAUCUUUGAACGCAUAUUGCGCUCUCUGGUAUUCCGGAGAGCAUGCUUGUUUGAGUAUCAGUAAACACCUCAACUCCCUUUUCUUUUUUGAAAUGGGAGCUGGACUUGAGUGAUCCCAACACUUUUCUCACCGGAAAGUGGCGGGUCACUUGAAAUGCAGGUGCAGCUGGACUUUUCUCUGAGCUAUAAGCAUAUCUAUUUAGUCUGCCUAAAAAACAGAUUAUUACCUUUGCUGCAGCUAACAUAAAGGAGAUGAGUUCUUGUGCUGACUGAUGCAGGAUUCACAGAGACAGCUUUGCGGCUGACUUUGUAAACUCGAUCUCAAAUCAAGUAAGACUACCCGCUGAACUUAAGCAUAUCAAUAAGCGGAGGA